AUCAUAUUUGUUCUAACAAUGUUUAAUUGAGGGUCGUAAUAAAGUUAUGAAGCCUCUCUCCCUCUUCGGUAUUUACAGUUCCACUGCUGGGUUUUUCCAUACUGACACCAACAAUAAAAGCGGCCUGCAUCCUUAGGGGUGUGUGUGACUUCACAGGGGUGUGUGAUGGAGGGGUGGCCUCUGUAAGCCUCUCUGCCAACCUCAUAUAAACCCAUGCACACCCACACCACACACCCAUCCAAACACACUCUCUCACACACACACUCCGGCCGAGUACAGAACACACACAGAGAUGGACUUUCUGAAAGGAUCUGGGAAGCAGGUGGAUGCAGUGAUCGACAAAGCAGCUGUUGUGGUGAAGGAGAAGGUGGGAGAGAUGAUCGGAGGAGGAGCUAAGGAGGAGAAGAAAGAUGAAGGUAUUGGUGGCAAGGUGUCUGAUGUUGUGGUUGUUCCACCAGGUAUUGGUGGCAUGGUGUCUGAUGUUGUGGUUGUUCCUCCAGGUAUUGGUGGCAUGGUGUCUGAUGUUGUGGUUGUUCCACCAGGUAUUGGUGGCAUGGUGUCUGAUGUUGUG
rnacentral:lncRNA from 1 species